rnacentral:rRNA from 2 species
UGAUCAUGGCUCAGGACGAACGCUGGCGGCGUGCCUAAUACAUGCAAGUCGAACGAACUCUGGUAUUGAUUGGUGCUUGCAUCAUGAUUUACAUUUGAGUGAGUGGCGAACUGGUGAGUAACACGUGGGAAACCUGCCCAGAAGCGGGGGAUAACACCUGGAAACAGAUGCUAAUACCGCAUAACAACUUGGACCGCAUGGUCCGAGUUUGAAAGAUGGCUUCGGCUAUCACUUUUGGAUGGUCCCGCGGCGUAUUAGCUAGAUGGUGGGGUAACGGCUCACCAUGGCAAUGAUACGUAGCCGACCUGAGAGGGUAAUCGGCCACAUUGGGACUGAGACACGGCCCAAACUCCUACGGGAGGCAGCAGUAGGGAAUCUUCCACAAUGGACGAAAGUCUGAUGGAGCAACGCCGCGUGAGUGAAGAAGGGUUUCGGCUCGUAAAACUCUGUUGUUAAAGAAGAACAUAUCUGAGAGUAACUGUUCAGGUAUUGACGGUAUUUAACCAGAAAGCCACGGCUAACUACGUGCCAGCAGCCGCGGUAAUACGUAGGUGGCAAGCGUUGUCCGGAUUUAUUGGGCGUAAAGCGAGCGCAGGCGGUUUUUUAAGUCUGAUGUGAAAGCCUUCGGCUCAACCGAAGAAGUGCAUCGGAAACUGGGAAACUUGAGUGCAGAAGAGGACAGUGGAACUCCAUGUGUAGCGGUGAAAUGCGUAGAUAUAUGGAAGAACACCAGUGGCGAAGGCGGCUGUCUGGUCUGUAACUGACGCUGAGGCUCGAAAGUAUGGGUAGCAAACAGGAUUAGAUACCCUGGUAGUCCAUACCGUAAACGAUGAAUGCUAAGUGUUGGAGGGUUUCCGCCCUUCAGUGCUGCAGCUAACGCAUUAAGCAUUCCGCCUGGGGAGUACGGCCGCAAGGCUGAAACUCAAAGGAAUUGACGGGGGCCCGCACAAGCGGUGGAGCAUGUGGUUUAAUUCGAAGCUACGCGAAGAACCUUACCAGGUCUUGACAUACUAUGCAAAUCUAAGAGAUUAGACGUUCCCUUCGGGGACAUGGAUACAGGUGGUGCAUGGUUGUCGUCAGCUCGUGUCGUGAGAUGUUGGGUUAAGUCCCGCAACGAGCGCAACCCUUAUUAUCAGUUGCCAGCAUUAAGUUGGGCACUCUGGUGAGACUGCCGGUGACAAACCGGAGGAAGGUGGGGAUGACGUCAAAUCAUCAUGCCCCUUAUGACCUGGGCUACACACGUGCUACAAUGGAUGGUACAACGAGUUGCGAACUCGCGAGAGUAAGCUAAUCUCUUAAAGCCAUUCUCAGUUCGGAUUGUAGGCUGCAACUCGCCUACAUGAAGUCGGAAUCGCUAGUAAUCGCGGAUCAGCAUGCCGCGGUGAAUACGUUCCCGGGCCUUGUACACACCGCCCGUCACACCAUGAGAGUUUGUAACACCCAAAGUCGGUGGGGUAACCUUUUAGGAACCAGCCGCCUAAGGUGGGACAGAUGAUUAGGGUGAAGUCGUAACAAGGUAGCCGUAGGAGAACCUGCGGUUGGAU